ACGAGGCCGUCUGGGUUGAGCAGCGUGGCUCUUGCGAUGGUGUUCACUUGCAGCGUGUAGCGAGUAUGAGGAAGCAGGAGCUGCGAGAGGAACGAGGUCACGUGAGCCGAAGGUCCGGGAAGGCCUGCAGGCCCGGCUCCCUUUAGUCUCAACCCAGCAUCCCGCGGACCUUGUAGACUGGAUGACAGAGCGGCAGCUGACGCAGUGUAGCCAUGGAGAAGGCCUCGCAUAGCAAAUGCGUGCACAGAAAAUGCGUGUUGUUCUCGUGCACCAAAAACUCAGAGUUGCGCACCCACGUCUUGGCCAGCAGCCAGUCCAACUCGCAAUCAGUGGGCAGAAAGAUGGGGCUCUCUGGCCCUGGUGUCUGGCUGAGCUGCGUGACAGAGUAGUAAGAGGUGUGGCUCAAGCCUGUUAGCCUGAGGCUCCACCUCCUUAAAUCUCAUCCCGAGGCUCACCUGGAUUGCCAAUGGCAGCAGCACCCCCUGUGGGUUGAGCCACAACAGGCAGAGGGGCGCUGUUACGUACUGUUGGAGACCGUUUAUGCAAUGGACUGGGGCCUCCGCCAGGAUCCAGUAGUCCGCCAGGAAGAUGUGCCCCCUCUGAAGAAGGCACAAAGAGACUUAACAAGCCCUCUCCUCCCUGUGUCCCUCUUUUCUCUCUGCUCUCUGCAACAAGGAGGAGCUGAGGUUCCCCAGUUCGAGACUCAGCAGUUCUUGCUACCUGCCACUAAUGGUCAACGCUAGGUACCGCACCCUUCCCAGAAUGCCCGGAAUGAAGUCUAGUUGAGUCUGUC
rnacentral:lncRNA from 1 species